rnacentral:lncRNA from 10 species
GGAGUAAGCAUGCACCGUUUUCUCACCAUCUCCAGACUAGAGGAAUUGUACAAUACGAGACAUGGGCCCUCAAAUACAUUGUACCACUUGGUCAGGGAUGUCAAAAAGGUAAGAACCCUCUCGACUGCAGGUCGGAGGCCCUGUCUUGACUGCUUCCUGUGAUUAGAGAGUGCCUCUGUUUUGCAUGAGCUGCCAGAGUAUUCCUGUCCCUAUCAGGCGCCACUCAUUUCAGAACAGUGUGUGUGUGUGUGUGUGUGUAUGUGUCUUUUAACUCUGAUGCUUCUGUUCAUGAUGCAGCUGUGGUGUUAUCUCCAAUCGCCGUGCUUUUAGAUGCUUUUGGUGGACAUAAUGCUUUUGGGUAGCGGAACUCUUGGCUUUCCCCGUGCCAAGUGGAUUUAUGCCAUACCUGUAUUUUUCCAUAUGCCCCUCACUGUUUGGGGAGCUGCCUGACUGACCACAAGAGUAAAUCUUCAUUCACCAGCUCCUGAUACAAUGUCACAUCUAGCAUUACAUAGAGUGUAGUAAGCAUAGCUCCAAAUUUUCUAAAAACAGGGACUAAAACAUAAAUAUGCAUUCCAUUCUUCUAACAUUCUAUUUUUUCCAGAAUAUUUUUUCACACUUUUCAUCUCAUUAGAUGGGAAAAAAAUGUUGGUAGGUAUGGAUCGGGUAGAAUUAUUUUCAUUUUACAGAUGAGGAAGCCGAACUACAAGGAGAUGAGAGCUAUAUUGGCAUUUAGUGAAGAGCUAGGUUUAAAGUUCAGUUCAUUUUAUUAAUAAUGAUAAAAUAAUAAUAGUCAUGAGCUAGUGAUGACUAGGUGCACAGCAUUGCUGCAUACUUUCAGUGCAUCUUAAUUCAUUUAAUCUUCACAACAAUUCUAUGAAAUAGAAUUAUUAUUUUAUUAUUAUAGGCUAGGCACAGAGACUCAUGCCUGUAAUCCCAGCACUUUGGAGGCCCAAGGUGGGUGGAUCACCUAAGGUCGAGUUCAAGGCCAGCCUGGUCUGGUUAACAUGGUGAAACCCUGUCUCUACU